CAUUAUGUAGUAGUUAACACAUUUGCUUAGCAAGCAAAAUAUCACUGGUUCAAUUCCAGAUG
rnacentral:tRNA from 1 species